AGGACGAACGCUGGCGGCGUGCUUAACACAUGCAAGUCGAACGGUAAGGCCCCUUCGGGGGUACACGAGUGGCGAACGGGUGAGUAACACGCGGGUAAUCUGCCCUGCACUUCGGGAUAAGCCUGGGAAACUGGGUCUAAUACCGGAUAUGAACUCCUGCCGCAUGGUGGGGGUUGGAAAGUUUUUCGGUGCAGGAUGAGCCCGCGGCCUAUCAGCUUGUUGGUGGGUAAUGGCCUACCAAGGCAUCGGACGGUACGCCU
rnacentral:rRNA from 1 species